rnacentral:rRNA from 1 species
CUCCUACGGGAGGCAGCAGUCGGGAAUAUUGCGCAAUGGAGGAAACUCUGACGCAGUGACGCCGCGUAUAGGAAGAAGGUUUUCGGAUUGUAAACUAUUGUCGUUAGGGAAGAGAAAGGACAGUACCUAAGGAGGAAGCUCCGGCUAACUACGUGCCAGCAGCCGCGGUAAUACGUAGGGAGCGAGCGUUAUCCGGAAUUAUUGGGUGUAAAGGGUGCGUAGACGGGAAGAUAAGUUAGUUGUGAAAUCCCUCGGCUUAACUGAGGAACUGCAACUAAAACUGUUUUUCUUGAGUGCAGGAGAGGUAAGUGGAAUUCCUAGUGUAGCGGUGAAAUGCGUAGAUAUUAGGAGGAACACCAGUGGCGAAGGCGACUUACUGGACUGUAACUGACGUUGAGGCACGAAAGUGUGGGGAGCAAACAGGAUUAGAUACCCUGGUAGUCCACGCGGUAAACGAUGAUUACUAGGUGUCGGGGGUUUAU